GAGCCAUUUGGCAGUAAAUGCAACUUAUGACUGAGUUCUGAAAACAUAGUCUUCCUUGAGCUGAAACGCUGAUUCCAUGAGGCUAUUUUGGCAUACAAGGAUCUGCUCCCGGACAGGACAACUCUCCUUUGGAGACUGAUGGAAAUUGAUAUCACCAGGAAAAGUGGUAAUAUAAAAAGCUACUACCACUUCCAUUGUGUCUCCAAUAAGGGCAAAUGAUACAAGCAGAACUCAGCAGCUGGAGUCACCACAGGACCUGAUUGAUGGCUGCAGGACCCAGAUGGCAGAAACCCGAAAAAUGUUUCUGGCAAAUACCUCUACACGCUGGAUGUGUGUGUGUGUGUGUGUGUGUGUGUGU